UACGGGAGGCAGCAGUGGGGAAUAUUGCACAAUGGGCGCAAGCCUGAUGCAGCCAUGCCGCGUGUAUGAAGAAGGCCUUCGGGUUGUAAAGUACUUUCAGCCGUGAGGAAGGUGUUAAGGUUAAUAACCUUAGCAAUUGACGUUAGCGACAGAAGAAGCACCGGCUAACUCCGUGCCAGCAGCCGCGGUAAUACGGAGGGUGCGAGCGUUAAUCGGAAUUACUGGGCGUAAAGGGCACGCAGGCGGUUAAUUAAGUUGGAUGUGAAAUCCCCGGGCUUAACCUGGGAAUGGCAUUCAAGACUGGUUAGCUAGAGUCUUGUAGAGGGGGUAGAAUUCCAUGUGUAGCGGUGAAAUGCGUAGAGAUGUGGAGGAAUACCGGUGGCGAAGGCGGCCCCUGGACAAAGACUGACGCUCAUGUGCGAAAGCGUGGGGAGCAAACAGGAUUAGAUACC
rnacentral:rRNA from 1 species